AUAGGAGUUUCAUUAAUUUAUUUACUCAGAUGCUGAAACAGACAUCUGGCAUAUUCCUAUAAUCAGUAUCAUGGCCUUUGUAUACAACAAAAUUGAUUGGAACUCCUAGACUAGAAAUAUAAUUCAAGAUUUAAAUAAGGCACUGGUCAUAGUUUUAGAAAGUGUGGCUAGCAUUCUGAAGGAAGACAGAGAGAUGGAAAGACAUCAAAGAAUGGGCAGGUCUGCCAAGAAAUGGUUUAUCCAGGGCUAAGUACAGAGAGGAAUAUAGAAGGGCUGUUGACAGAUCUUGUGUGGUGCCCCCAUGGUUCAACAGACUAAUUGAUUGAAAAUAAUACCAGGGUUAUGCUCCUUUGACCAUUGAGUUCCAGGAUGAAGAAUGAAAGACAGAGAGCAAUGUGAAGACAUGAAAGAAUGGGCAGGUCUGCCAUGAAAUGGUUUAUCCAGGGCUAAAUACAGAGAGAAAUAUAGAAGGGCUGUUGACAGAUCUUGUGUGGUGGCCCCAUGGUUCAACAGACUGAU